rnacentral:pre_miRNA from 1 species
UCUUAUGGAUGAGCAAAGAAAGUGCUUUUUAAAGAAGAAUCUAUUCUUGGUGAAAAUGCUGUGAA